AACGAACACUGGCGGCAUGCCUAACACAUGCAAGUCGAACGAGACCUUCGGGUCUAGUGGCGCACGGGUGCGUAACGCGUGGGAACCUGCCCUUAGGUUCGGAAUAACUCCCCGAAAGGGGUGCUAAUACCGGAUAAUGUCUUCGGACCAAAGAUUUAUCGCCUUUGGAUGGGCCCGCGUUGGAUUAGCUAGUUGGUAGGGUAAAAGCCUACCAAGGCGACGAUCCAUAGCUGGUCUGAGAGGAUGAUCUGCCACACUGGGACUGAGACACGGCCCAGACUCCUACGGGAGGCAGCAGGGGGGAAUAUUGGACAAUGGGCGAAAGCCUGAUCCAGCAAUGCCGCGUGAGUGAUGAAGGCCUUAGGGUUGUAAAGCUCUUUUACCCGGGAUGAUAAUGACAGUACCGGGAGAAUAAGCUCCGGCUAACUCCGU
rnacentral:rRNA from 1 species